rnacentral:rRNA from 1 species
UAUUAACGCUGAGGUGUGAUGACGAGGCACUACGGUGCUGAAGUAACAAAUGCCCUGCUUCCAGGAAAAGCCUCUAAGCAUCAGGUAACAUCAAAUCGUACCCCAAACCGACACAGGUGGUCAGGUAGAGAAUACCAAGGCGCUUGAGAGAACUCGGGUGAAGGAACUAGGCAAAAUGGUGCCGUAACUUCGGGAGAAGGCACGCUGAUAUGUAGGUGAAGCCCCUGCGGGUGGAGCUGAAAUCAGUCGAAGAUACCAGCUGGCUGCAACUGUUUAUUAAAAACACAGCACUGUGCAAACACGAAAGUGGACGUAUACGGUGUGACGCCUGCCCGGUGCCGGAAGGUUAAUUGAUGGGGUUAGCGGCAACGCGAAGCUCUUGAUCGAAGCCCCGGUAAACGGCGGCCGUAACUAUAACGGUCCUAAGGUAGCGAAAUUCCUUGUCGGGUAAGUUCCGACCUGCACGAAUGGCGUAAUGAUGGCCAGGCUGUCUCCACCCGAGACUCAGUGAAAUUGAACUCGCUGUGAAGAUGCAGUGUACCCGCGGCAAGACGGAAAGACCCCGUGAACCUUUACUAUAGCUUGACACUGAACACUGGUCCUUGAUGUGUAGGAUAGGUGGGAGGCUUUGAAGCGUGGACGCCAGUCUGCGUGGAGCCAACCUUGAAAUACCACCCUUUAAUGGCUGGUGUUCUAACGUAGACCCGUAAUCCGGGUUGCGGACAGUGUCUGGUGGGUAGUUUGACUGGGGCGGUCUCCUCCCAAAGAGUAACGGAGGAGCACGAAGGUUAGCUAAUCCUGGUCGGACAUCAGGAGGUUAGUGCAAUGGCAUAAGCUAGCUUGACUGCGAGAGUGACGGCUCGAGCAGGUGCGAAAGCAGGUCAUAGUGAUCCGGUGGUUCUGAAUGGAAGGGCCAUCGCUCAACGGAUAAAAGGUACUCCGGGGAUAACAGGCUGAUACCGCCCAAGAGUUCAUAUCGACGGCGGUGUUUGGCACCUCGAUGUCGGCUCAUCACAUCCUGGGGCUGAAGUAGGUCCCAAGGGUAUGGCUGUUCGCCAUUUAAAGUGGUACGCGAGCUGGGUUUAGAACGUCGUGAGACAGUUCGGUCCCUAUCUGCCGUGGGCGCUGGAGAAUUGAGGGGGGCUGCUCCUAGUACGAGAGGACCGGAGUGGACGCAUCACUGGUGUUCGGGUUGUCAUGCCAAUGGCACUGCCCGGUAGCUAAAUGCGGAAGAGAUAAGUGCUGAAAGCAUCUAAGCACGAAACUUGCCCCGAGAUGAGUUCUCCCUGAGACUUUAAGUCUCCUGAAGGAACGUUGAAGACUACGACGUUGAUAGGUCGGGUGUGUAAGCGCAGCGAUGCGUUGAGCUAACCGAUACUAAUGAACCGUGAGGCUUAACCUUACAACGCCGAAG